rnacentral:tRNA from 1 species
GAGGGUACAGCUCAGUGGUAGUGCGCGUGCUUAACAUGCAGGAGGUCCUGGGUUCAAUCCUCAGUGCCUCCA